UACGUAGGGGGCAAGCGUUGUCCGGAAUCAUUGGGCGUAAAGCGCGUGUAGGCGGCUCGGUAAGUCCGCUCUGAAAGUCCAGGGCUCAACCCUGGGAUGCGGGUGGAUACUGCCGAGCUCGAGUCCGGAAGAGGCGAGUGGAAUUCCUGGUGUAGCGGUGAAAUGCGCAGAUAUCAGGAGGAACACCAAUGGCGAAGGCAGCUCGCUGGGACGUGACUGACGCUGAGACGCGAAAGCGUGGGGAGCAAACGGG
rnacentral:rRNA from 1 species